AUACUUACCUGGUGCUGGGUUGGCGGUGAUCAUCGAGGCCGCGGACCCGUGCCGAGGCCUCUCCAUUGCACUACUGUUGGCUGAAGCACGCCACUUCCUCAAGUCGGGGUAGCUGGAGCAUGCAAUUUCUGGUAGUGGUGCUAGGCGUACGCGCCAGCCCUC
rnacentral:snRNA from 1 species